AGAUGCUGUGCCCAGAAGCCAGCCAUGCUGUGCCCAGACCUCUGACCUACAGAUAAUAAUAACAACAAAGGGCGAGUUAAAAACCAGCCCAACAGUGUUGGGGAUAUGAAGACACGGGGUUCGCAGACCAAAGCUGCUCUAUGUCUGACCUGUGAGUGAUUUCAGACCUUCUGGCCAGGUAUGCAACGUUUUCCAUUCACACCACCGGUUCUGCGUCAACUUUUGC
rnacentral:lncRNA from 1 species